CCCUUCACCUUAGAAGUUCUUUGAC
rnacentral:piRNA from 1 species